GAUAAAACCCUAAUCUCGAUCCCUCUCUCUCUGGCGAUCUCCCUCUCCCUCUCGAUCCCUCCCUCUCUCUCACGCGAUCUCCCUCUCCCUCUCGAUCCCUCCCUCUCUCUUGAUCUACCUCACUCUCGAUCUGCAAUCCUUACUCCGCAUCCACCAACCGCUGAAACCCUGCCGCAUCUCCGGUCAUCAAUAGCAAUACAACGUUUUUGAGCUCCCUCCUGUUGCCAAUAUGAAGAGAUGGAUAACAUGGAGUGCUUUUUCAAGGAGAAAAUGGGUGUCAUUGCUAUUUCAGGGCUUGGUUGCAGAAAUAUGUGCUUUGACUAUAGAAAUAGCAUGGAACCAGAGCUGGGAAGGUGCAGAAGAACAGAUGGAAAGAAAUGGUGAUGCUCUAAGGAUGUGGUGCCGGAUCAAAAGUACUGUGAGCGCCACAUGCAUAGAGGCCGUCAACGUUCAAGAAAGCCUUUGGAAGGCAAUACCACUGCCAACAACAACAACACCACCACCACCACCAAAAACACCAUCGAUUCCAACACAAAUCUCUCCAUUUCAUUCUUCUUUAAUUACGGAGAGAAUAUUUUGUAUGUUCAAAUUUAAAUAGUCUUACUGGGAUCCACCACAUUGCUUGUAGAAACUAGCAGAGCUGAAUUACACUGCUGCGGCCUCACCAUAAAGCUGAUUCCAAGGAUCGAUCUACAAGCUAUGGCCCAAAAACUGGUAUUCACCUUUCUUUUGUCCAGAAAUUUGAUUUGGCAGUGAUUUUGGUCAUGCAUGGCCCAAAAUCUGAUAUUUCUGUUUUCAGUUCAUCCGGGUCCGUGUGAUUUAAUCAACAGGUUGGAUGGCAAAUAAACAUUACAGUGGGCCUUGGGAAGUUUUUAAUGGUUUGAGGAGCAAGAGGCUCCUGUUUCCAGGCAUGCCCUUGAAUCAUUUCUACCAAAUAGAGAAGUGGGCUCUCCAGCACUGAACUGUAGAAGUGCUACCGUAAGCCAUGUUGUUUGAUUUUUUAAUGUCCUCAACUGUUUUUCAGUCUCAGAAAUUAAGUAUUUUUAAUGCAUGCCUCAGCUUCUGUUUCCAGGCUAGACUAGUGUACAUGUUUUCUACUUCUGAAAAGGUGUUGUUUCAUCUGCUGCACGUGGUGUACAUAUACGUCAAUCCAGACCAGUCAAAACAUGGCUCCAUUGGUGGUGGUGAACGUCCUAAAAUUCACUUAUCUGAUAAUCAGAACCAACCAAUCGCUGGCCAUCAAAUGGGUUGUUAAAAGAAGAAAAGAAAGUUCAUGAAAAACAAAAAGAAGAAAAAGUUCAUAUAAGGAAAUGGUGAAGGGUGGGAAGCUAAUCUUCUCAUUUGAUGCAACAAAGAAAGCUCGCUUUGGUGUACUCCCACGAUAUGCAAAAGAUGAGCUUCAAAUCAGAUGGUUUGAGCUCCCAAAUUGCUUUAUCUUCCAUAAUGGUGGGAAGCGCCUUGUUCUUGUGGGUCUAGGAGAUGAUGAUCAAUGCAUUGAGGAGGGAACUUCGCACGCCAUCUCUGCGAAGCUAUAAUUUAAAGUGCUAGCCUUUAUUGUAGCUUAUUUUGUAAAUUUGAUUUUGCAAUGAAACAUCUUCAAGCACGUUAUUUUCUCAAGUUUUUCUUUGGAUUAAUCUCUAUUUUGAUGGAAUGUAAUAAACUUCUGUUAAUUUAUUUCCCUUGAUUUUAAA